UUAACAGUUGCGCCGUUCGCUGAGAAAUAGGUACGCCAGAGUGACUUCGGCGGGCGCCAAAAGGCCUCACCCCCUCCCAGGGGGGCCCGCCGAGGCAACGGGGUAAAAAGAUUCACAGGUGGUUUUGGGAGCUGUGGCUCUCUAAUGAUCCCUCCGCUGGUUCACCAACGGAGA
rnacentral:misc_RNA from 1 species